rnacentral:rRNA from 1 species
GGAAUUUUGGACAAUGGGCGCAAGCCUGAUCCAGCCAUGCCGCGUGCGGGAAGAAGGCCUUCGGGUUGUAAACCGCUUUUGUCAGGGAAGAAACGCCCCGAGAUAAUACCUCGGAGUAAUGACGGUACCUGGCGAAUAAGCACCGGCUAACUACGUGCCAGCAGCCGCGGUAAGACGUAGGGUGCGAGCGUUAAUCGGAAUUACUGGGCGUAAAGCGUGCGCAGGCGGUCAUGCAAGACAGAUGUGAAAUCCCCGGGCUCAACCUGGGAACCGCAUUUGUGACUGCACGACUCGAGUGCGGCAGAGGGGGAUGGAAUUCCGCGUGUAGCAGUGAAAUGCGUAGAUAUGCGGAGGAACACCGAUGGCGAAGGCAGUCCCCUGGGCCUGCACUGACGCUCAUGCACGAAAGCGUGGGGAGCAAAC